GGGGGAAUCACUUUUAAAAAAAUCACCAAAAAUAACUCAGAGCAAAGUGCAGUCCGCGGAACUUCCGAGUCGGUGCCGUCGGUUUUGACCUUUAAGAGAGAACCAGUUCUGGAAAACAACCUAACUUUGAAUACUCAACAUUAUAAUGCAUUGGAACAUGAUAGGAGAUUAAGGUUUCAACAGCUAUGGAAACAGCCCCUGCUUAGCCCAGCAAUUCUCUGUUACAUGUGAGACUUCUUUGAGAAAUUUUACACUUAGGGAUUAAACUUUCAAAAGGUGGAUAUUACUAUCUGUACCUCAUGGAAAAAGUUUUAUUCUUAAGUGUUAUUUCUCUUUGAGCAUUAUCAGAAUGGUGAAAAAAUUAAUGACCUAACCAUUUGAGAUAGGUCUGAUGCUAGUAAGUUUAGCUAUUACUUAACAUACCUGGGAGAAGUAGGAGAUGAUCAUCAAUACCUUCCCAUCUGUUUUCUUACUGUUAUCAAGGAAAUUCUUAAAAACUCCUUUUUAUUACUAGUAGCUUAAGCAGCCUUUUUAAUAACUAACUCUUCCACUAGAAAUACAUCUCAAGUAUUUGAGGGGUUUUUUUGUUUUCUCUUUUUGCAGUUCUGGGAUUUAAACCCACCGCUUCACACAUGUGGCAAAUACUCUACUGCAAAGCUACACCUAGACCCCAAAAGAAAAAUUAGAAGCUAUUUUUAUUUUAGUAAAUGUAGCUUAUUUAACAUUUAUUCAGUUUGUCUAUAUGUUUUUCUAGUAAGUUUUUUUUUUUCUAUAUAGCCCAGAGGAAUACCAGUACUCACAAGGUGAGUACUGAGGUAGAAAAAUCAAUCCAGAGCUGAUCCAGGCAAAAGCAUGAGACUAUCUGAAAAUCAAAUCAGCAAAAAGGUUUAGGAUGUAACUCAGUGGUAAAGCACUUGCUUAGCAUAUGAUAAAGCCUUAGAUUUGAUCCCAUCUGGCACUGCCAAAAAUUAAAAUGUCUUUAAAAAGUGCUAGAAACUUUAAACUUUCCCAUAGUUUUCUUAUUUACACAUUUAUUUUGUACUAUUUGAGCAGGCUUAUAUAUUAAGUUUUCACGUGAUUAGUUUAAAAUGCCAUAUUUAUUUGAAACACUUAUAUAUAGGAAGGUACAAAAUUUUUCUACUUUAGUAGGGCUGAUCAUCACAAACCAUAAAUUUAGCCCUUAUGGGGCCUACAAUCAUUGUUGAAAGUGGGUAGGUAGAUAAUAGAAGUGACAAACUAUUAAGAUGUAUGUGUACUUUUUGAAAUAGUGAUAAAGUCUACGGAGAAAGGCUAGAAGGAUGGCGGUGGGGAGAAGGGAGUCAAAUCUAUUUCUGUAUAUGAAUAUUCCAAAUAAAUAUAGUGGCAUUUUAAGACAAUCACAUGAAAGCUUUAAAUAUAAGCAUGCUAAAAUAUUACAAAAUAAAAGUGAAGAUAUUGGGAAAGCAGAGUGUAUUUUCAGAUAGUAUGUUUAAGAAAUGCCUCCUAGAGCUGACAUGAACAAAAAGAAAGUGGGAAGAAGCCCUGUGGGUAUCCAGAAGAACCUUUCAAACCGGUUAAAUAACAAAUAUAAAGAUCCUGAAGCUGGUACAUUUUGGUCUAUACAAGAAAUAGUGAGGAGAGGUAUGUAUGACUUGCUAUAAAAGGAAAAAGUAAUAAAAACGAAAGUUUAUAGAAGCCAAAUGUCACAGCUGUUUAGGCUGUUAAAUGAAUAAAUUUAAUUUUCUGUA